UACGAACCGUGCGAACGUUGUUCGGAAUCACUGGGCUUAAAGGGCGCGUAGGCGGGUUGCCAAGUCCGGGGUGAAAGCCCCCAGCUCAACUGGGGAAGGGCCUUGGAUACUGGUGAUCUCGAGGGAGGUAGGGGCAUGCGGAACUUCCGGUGGAGCGGUGAAAUGCGUAGAUAUCGGAAGGAACGCCGGUGGCGAAAGCGGCGUGCUGGACCUCUUCUGACGCUGAGGCGCGAAAGCCAGGGGAGCAAACGGG
rnacentral:rRNA from 1 species